GUGAUCACUUUGGCAGCACAUAUACUAAAACUGGAAUGAUACAGAGAAGAUUAGCAUGGCCUCUACACAAGGAUGACAUACAAAUUUGUGAAGAAUUCCAUAUUUUA
ensembl:snRNA U6 U6 spliceosomal RNA